rnacentral:tRNA from 1 species
AAGCGGCGACAUAGCCCGAGACUACGAAUCUGGGGGUCAGAGGUUCGAAUCCUUUCGGGCGCGCCA